UGUUUGUUUCUUCACCACGCUUCACUGCUUUUUGGAAAAAGUGGAAAACAGCGGGGCGGCUAGAAAACAAACAUUUUAUGUGAAUGUUUGAUUUUCUUGAUAAUCAGAGCAACCUCCGUGUGCCUUACUUGAAGUAACUCUAGCGAGUUUUGCUGUGUCCCUUAGGACGGCAUAGCGUACACAACGCAUCAUGAAGUAUGGAUGCGAUUCUGGCACCAACUGUUCCGUUCCUCCUUUCACCAGAAGCUUUGCGUCUUUAAGCUUCCUUUCAUUAGAAUUUCGAUCCAAGUUUGUGGGGAAGACUGAAUUCAAUGGAAAGUGUCGAACUACUUCACCUCAAAUCCCACUUCUCUAAUAAAAUAACUUUUACUGU
rnacentral:lncRNA from 1 species